rnacentral:rRNA from 1 species
AGCAGCCGCCACGGUAAUACGUAGGUCCCGAGCGUUGUCCGGAUUUAUUGGGCGUAAAGCGAGCGCAGGCGGUUAGAUAAGUCUGAAGUUAAAGGCUGUGGCUUAACCAUAGUACGCUUUGGAAACUGUUUAACUUGAGUGCAGAAGGGGAGAGUGGAAUUCCAUGUGUAGCGGUGAAAUGCGUAGAUAUAUGGAGGAACACCGGUGGCGAAAGCGGCUCUCUGGUCUGUCACUGACGCUGAGGCUCGAAAGCGUGGGUAGCGAACAGGAUUAGAUACCCCUGUAGUCCCUGUCUCUUAUACA